CCCGCCACCGAGCCUACAGCGGCAUCACGAUCAACGGCGGCGUCCAGUACAACCUCUUCCGCGACCACGUGCUGGCGCUGACCACGGACUACCAGUUCCAGAAGGAGGAGAUCGAGAGGUUAGAAUUAUCGCAAUACGAGGCGUGGCAGCUGAACACACUGAAAGCAUCCGAACCUAUUUCAUUUGACUUCUGCAAGCACGAUUUCUUGUAUUCUCAUGAUCCAGUGAUAAUG